rnacentral:lncRNA from 1 species
GCAAUUAUUGUAAAGUUAUUUUAUAGACCUGCAUUGACUUGCUUAUGAAGGGAAGAAAAAUAUUAAACAAGUUAAAAAGAAAACAAAAAAGCAAUGCAUAUCUGUCGUAAAUAAUUUCAGUAUGUCUUUCAUUUUUCGUUUGCCGGAGAAGUUUAACAUUUGAAUUCUUCUCUCUGAUUUUUUGAAACAAAAAUUAUUUUCUUUUGAAAGCUUGUUUAUUGCCCCCCUCUUAAUUGCAUAUUUCAAGAUUCUGCUGCUUGUAAAUUGUGAUAUAUUGAUUAUAUUCUAACAAUUCUUACACGUGCCUAUAUGUUAAUACAGAAAAGAGAAACAGACAAAGAAUUGGCUCUCACAUUAUGGAAUUCUUUCAAGACAGUAUCUCUACUCUUAGGGGUAUGCCCUUGGCAAACUAGAUUUUGACAAUUCAAGUUUAAUUAUCAUACUUAUAAUAUAUAGCCAAUUUGCCAACAUUAUAUUUUUAUUGAUGAUUUAUUUAACUACCAAUUGCAUCGCUAUUGAUCCAUAAAUUGAAUUGAAUGAUUUGCUGGUAAUAUCUUCUCUAUUUUCAGAAAGUAACAUCAUUUUACAAGUCUUUUAUCGCCUGAAAAGCUGACACCCAGAUAUUCUACUAGAGUUUGUAAUGCUAUUGCUUUACUCCAGGUAAUCAUUACUCUCUUUAUUUCAAAAUUAGAUAACAUUUUGAAUUCUUGAAGUAAGUUUACAAAAUCUUUAUGUUAAAGACUAUGUAUUUAUGAAUCUUUAUGUCUUUGAUUGUACCUUUAGCGUGUAGAAAAUUUGUGAAACCGAUGUUUCUUUUUUCCCUGUUAGGAUCCAUCUUAUUCUUUUUGGUUGCUUUUGUUUCAUGCAGCGAAACGCUCUUGAAAUGGCAAUGAAUACCAAUGGUGAUAUUGAUUUGGGACAUGAGCGGAAGACAGUGGCGAGGCAUGUACAUUUAAUUUCUAGAUAUUAUUUUUUUGGAUCUUUAUUGCCAUUUAUAUCUUUACACUGCUUAUAGCCCAUUUUACACUGUGCAGGUGGUGUACAGGUUUACAGUUCAUUGAUAUGGAUCUUUUUCUGUUAUUUUCUGUUAUAAGUUUUUUAUGGAUAGUUUAAUUAGGUAGUAGUUUAAUUUUAUGGAUAGUUUGGUAUAUUUUGUGGAUGUAGUCAAAUUCACAAUUCAAUAUAGUAGUAAUUAUAUUGAAAAGUGAAUUUGAUAUGUAUGGAUAGUUUGGCAUUAUUGAGAUGUAAACGUAUUAUAUGGUAUUAAUAUUCUUUGUAAUUGGCAUUACAAAGAAUUAUUGGGAUGUAAACGUAUUGUAUGGUAUUAAUAUUCUUUAUAAUUUUAGCUAUAUACCAUGGCAUUAACAUAUUGCAGGUGAAUUGGUAAUAUAGGUGAACCACAACUUUUUUUUUCUUUUUUUUUUAAAUCUACAUCAUUUUAAAAACGUUGUGUGAAAGUGCCUAAACGUUGUCUGAUAUAUUAAACUACAACGUUUUUAUCCAAAAAACGUUGUGGAAUCAUACAUUCU